rnacentral:rRNA from 1 species
AUGUCGGCGUCCGAUAUGCCCGACGAGCUGUGGGCGCGCGUCCUGGAGCUCGGCGCCGCCUCCGCCGCGCUGGGGUUCCGCGACCUCUGCUGCCUCGCCAUCGCCUCGCGCCGCCUCCGCCGCCUCUCCCUCCACCCCUCCCUCUGGUCGGCGCUCCUCUCCCGCGACUUCCCCUCCCAAUCCCAGCCUUCCUCCUCUUCGCAGCAGCAGCAGCCCGAUCCCAAAUCCCUCUACAGGACCAAGUUCGAGAGGCACAAGCUGCGGAUGGCGGAGGCGAGGCGGCGGGCGGUGUACGAGGCGGAGGGGCGGGUGGUGGCGUGCCGGAGGCGUCUCACGGAGCUGGAGGAGUCGAUGUGCGCCGAGGGGGAUAGGAUGAAGGCCACCGCGCAGGAGCUGGACAGCCUCGAGAGGGUCAGAAGAGCUUCGGUGGCAUUAAACGUGUGGCAACCACAAGUUGUUCAUGGGCGUCAGAAACAGUUGGUUCAGCAAUGCACUGUUCCUGUUGAUUCUCGUCUUAGUGCUCUACACAUGGAGCUGAAAGUUUGUAAGCAACAAAUAGCAACUUACAAGAAUGCUUACAACAAGGAGAAGCUCAAGUUGAAUGAGUAUGAGGAAGCAUUGAGACGAGUUAAAUAUCAUCCUAUGCAGAAUAGUAGUGAUACAAGCGCAUCUGGUAAUGAGCCACAAGCAAAGCGGAAGAGACUGAAGUAA